UACGUAGGGUGCGAGCGUUGUCCGGAUUUAUUGGGCGUAAAGAGCUCGUAGGCGGUUUGUCGCGUCGGCCGUGAAAUCUCCACGCUUAACGUGGAGCGUGCGGUCGAUACGGGCAGACUUGAGUUCGGUAGGGGAGACUGGAAUUCCUGGUGUAGCGGUGAAAUGCGCAGAUAUCAGGAGGAACACCGGUGGCGAAGGCGGGUCUCCUGGGCCGAUACUGACGCUGGAGGCACGAAAGCGUGGGGAGCAAACAGG
rnacentral:rRNA from 1 species